rnacentral:rRNA from 1 species
UACGGAGGGUGCAAGCGUUAAUCGGAAUUACUGGGCGUAAAGCGUGCGUAGGCGGUUCGUUAAGUCUGUUGUGAAAGCCCCCGGGCUCAACCUGGGAAUGGCAAUGGAUACUGGCGAGCUAGAGUGUGUCAGAGGAUGGUGGAAUUCCCGGUGUAGCGGUGAAAUGCGUAGAGAUCGGGAGGAACAUCAGUGGCGAAGGCGGCCAUCUGGGACAACACUGACGCUGAGGCACGAAAGCGUGGGGAUCAAACAGG